CAAUUAUAGCAUAAAUUUUAAUUAAAUCAAACAAAUUCUGACAAAUGUGUGGCCACAGUGCCAACAGCAAAAAUGUUGAAGAAAAGAUUUGAGCAAUUCAUUUGGUACUUUUCAAAAUUUUUGUUUUCCUUAAAGAUUUUACUGGACGUUCUGUCUUUAGGCAUAUUAUUAACAGCUUUUUCCUUUGCUAGUCGCCCGAAGCUAAUUAGAAAAGUUUUUGACUUAAUGUAGCGAGGACAGCUGCAGCAUUUGGCAUAGUUAGAAAAUAAGCUCAAACUUGCAAAACUAUGAAUGCAUUUUAUCCCAGGACAGCAACAUCAACAUCUAACAAGAUGAGCGCCGCUCACUUUGGCCGUUUUAGAGGCGGUUGCUCGUUAAAACGUUACCGGAGGCCUCCGCGGGGAGGAAGUGAGUCGACUUGAGACGCCUGAUCAAUAAGGAUCGCGCUGGGUUUACCUUGUAGAAGCAGUCAGCAGCUGUGCCCUAUGAGUUACGCCUCCAUGGCCUCCAUGCGAUGUUAUUGCGUUUAUUGUUAUUAUUAAAUUAAUUUAAAUCAUACAUUAGCUUCUCUGCAUUGUUCGGUUCCUCGCAGUCAAACGAAGCCAUCAUGAGCUCUGGAAAAAUAUGCAAAAAAUUGUAUGCUCUAUGAUAAAACACAAAAUAGUUAUUAUAUAAUGAUCAAGAGAAUCUGCUGCCUUGGCUUGACUGGCUUAAAUAUAACAACUUAAAUUUA